GCUGCAGAUUCUGAACCAGGAGCUUUAGAAGAAGGUAUCUUCAACAGGCAGGAGGAAGGCGUUUCUGCUGUCACUGCUAGCAGUGAUGUUGAUAAUCUGAUGAAUCCCUCAACAUCAUAUUCUGAAAGAAAAGAGUUGCAGACUGGCCCCAUAGAACUAAUUACAGACUCACCUCAAACCAUGGUUGCUGAUGUUGCCAUAGAUAAUUCAGCUUCAACCUCAAAAGUUGUAAAGGAACAAAGCAACCAAGGAGCCAUGCCUGCAAAUUCGGAAGCCGGAGCAUUAGAAGAUAUGUCAAAUAGGCAACAGGAUGGUGGUUCUAGUGUCUGUGCUGGCAGUGAUGCUGAAAAUCAGAAAGAGUUGCAGAAUGACCACAAAGAACUAAAGAUUAAUUCACCUCAAACAAUGGAUACUGAUGUUCUUGUGGGAGCUGUUGAUGACUCUUCAGAAAAAAUAGAGUCGCAAAAUGAUCACAAAGAGCUAAAGAUUG
rnacentral:lncRNA from 1 species